rnacentral:lncRNA from 1 species
AUUGAUGGAUUUGUUAGCCUGCAUUAACCCUGCUUUUCCUACGAAAGAUUCUCUUUUUCCUUACAUUGAACUCUCAAGAACGUACGAUAAAAUGCGCAAUGAAGCUCGUCAGCUCUACCAUGAGACUGAGGCAGCUGGCAUAUUUAAAGAUUUGUUGUCAUCUAUUCAGGUUGAUCUAGAAAAUCCAUGAGACUGAGGCAGCUGGCAUGUUUAAAGAUUUGUUGUCAUCCAUUCAGGUUGAUCUAGAAAAUCUUAGCGCCGAUGAUGCAAUAAAUUUUGCAUCUAAACUUCAAUUCUUAAGUAUUAAUUCUAGGGGGGAGGAAUAUGCUGAGC